rnacentral:rRNA from 1 species
AUUUUGGACAAUGGGCGCAAGCCUGAUCCAGCCAUGCCGCGUGAGUGAAGAAGGCCUUCGGGUUGUAAAGCUCUUUCGGACGGAAAGAAAUCGCGCAGGCUAAUACCCUGCGCGGAUGACGGUACCGUCAUAAGAAGCACCGGCUAACUCCGUGCCAGCAGCCGCGGUAAUCCGUAGGGUGCGAGCGUUAAUCGGAAUUACGGGGGUUAAAGCUUGCGCGGGCGGUUAUUUAGGCAGGGCGUGAAAUCCCCGGGCUUAACUUGGGACCGGGGUUUGUGACUGGUCGGCUAGGGUACGGCAGGGGGGGGUGGAAUUCCAGGUUAGGCAGGGAAAGGGGUAGAGAGGUGGGGGAACCCGAAGGGAGAAGCCGGCCCCCGGGGCGGAUCCGAAGGCUAAUGAAGAAAGGCGGGGUAAGCAACCGG